GAUGAACGCUAGCUACAGGCUUAACACAUGCAAGUCGAGGGGCAGCGGGGAUCUAGCUUGCUAGAUUUGCCGGCGACCGGCGCACGGGUGAGUAACACGUAUCCAACCUGGCCCAUACUCGGGUAUAGCCUCUCGAAAGGGAGAUUAAUCCCCGUUGUUGUUGUUUCACCGCAUGGUGUACCAACCAAAGCAUGUCGGUAUGGGAUGGGGAUGCGUUCCAUUAGCUUGUUGGCGGGGUAACGGCCCACCAAGGCGACGAUGGAUAGGGGGUCUGAGAGAAAAGUCCCCCACACGGGAAAUGAGACACGGUCCAGACUCCUACGGGAGGCAGAAGUGAGGAAGAUUGGUCAAUGGGCGAGAGCCUGAAACAGCCAAGUAGCGUGAAGGAUGACUGCCCUACGGGUUGUAAACUUCUUAUGUUUGGGAAUAAAGUUCAGCACGUGUGCUGUUCUGUAUGUAACAUUCGAAUAAGCAUCGGCUAAUUCCGUGCCAGCAGCCGCAGUAAGAC
rnacentral:rRNA from 1 species